AGCCGCCGCGGUAAUACGAAGGGGGCUAGCGUUGUUCGGAGUCACUGGGCGUAAAGCGUAUGUAGGCGGAUCAAAAAGUUAGAUGUGAAAUCCCUGGGCUCAACCCAGGAACUGCAUUUAAAACUAGUGAUCUAGAAUUUGGUAGGGGUUAGUAGAAUUUCCAGUGUAGAGGUGAAAUUCGUAGAUAUUGGAAAGAAUACCAGUGGCGAAGGCGACUAACUGGGCCAUUUUUGACGCUGAGAUACGAAAGCGUGGGUAGCAAACAGGAUUAGAUACCCUGGUAGUCCACGCAGUAAACGAUGAGUGCUAGUCGCUGGGACAAUAGUUUCAGUGUCGAAGCUAACGCAUUAAGCACUCCGCCUGGGAAGUACGGUCGCAAGAUUAAAACUCAAAUAAAUUGACGGGGGCCCGCACAAGCGGUGGAGCAUGUGGUUUAAUUCGAAGCAACGCGAAGAACCUUACCAGACCUUGACAUGGUGUGUAUGAAUUACAGAAUCGUAAUUCUUCAGUUCGGCUGGCACACACACAGGUGCUGCAUGGCUGUCGUCAGCUCGUGUCGUGAGAUGUUGGGUUAAGUCCCGCAACGAGCGCAACCCUCAUUUUUAGUUGCCAUCAGGUUAUGCUGGGCACUCUAAAAAAACUGCCGGUGAUAAGCUGGAGGAAGGCGGGGAUGACGUCAAGUCCUCAUGGCCCUUACGGUCUGGGCUACACACGUGCUACAAUGGUGGUGACAGUGGGCAGCAAUACUGCAAAGUAAAGCUAAUCCCAAAAAACCAUCUCAGUUCGGAUUGGACUCUGCAACUCGAGUCCAUGAAGUUGGAAUCGCUAGUAAUCGUAGAUCAGCGUGCUACGGUGAAUACGUUCCCGGGCCUUGUACACACCGCCCGUCACACCAUGGGAGUUGGUUCUACCCGACGGCCGUGCGCUAACUUUUGAGGCAGCGGACCACGGUAGGAUCAGCGACUGGGGUGAAGUCGUAACAAGGUAGCCG
rnacentral:rRNA from 1 species